GGUAUGAGUCUUGUCAUGAGGUUUCUUAAUAUUUUUUUUUUUAUUCUUCUUCAAUAAAUUAUCAUAUAUUAUUGAGUGUGUAUGUAUGAAUAUUACGACGAAAAGUGAUAUCUCUUUAGUACAACUCUCAAUUCAUUGGAGAUGAUGUGUUGUGGAGAACAUAGAAGCAUUGUUUAUUUAUUUUCUGUGCAAAAAUUCCUAAAUGAAUAAGACAAUUAUGAAUAAAUUUUUUUAGUUGAAUAAAAAUUUUUUAUCUAAUUAAAAUGUAAAUUGAUGAAGGAUGAGAAUAAGAAGUGGGAACAGGUCAAAGAUAACCAAUUACAGUUCACAUUAAAUCAGAAACAUUUGAUAGUGUCGACAUGUUGCUUGUGACAACCUCAAGUUUAAUAAGACUAUUAUGAAUAAUAAUGAGUAAUAGCAGUAAUCUCAAUCGUAUUAAUAAAGAAGAAUGUACAACGGUUGGAGUGAAAGCAGUGUUACAGAGUAAUAGAACUGUUCAUCACGACCAGAAUCAAUUAUACAUGUAAUUAUGGAAUCAGAAUAUUUUCAAGUUUCUUGGAAAUUUAAAGUUCAAUGGAUUAAACGACGUAUCAAUGAAUUGUUACAAGAAUUAACAAAAAAAUACAGAAGAAAAAAAGGGUAUAAGAGAUUUCUCACUGAUGAAGAAAAAAGGUGGCUUGCUUCUGUUGAAUAUGAUAUAUCUACCAGAGUUGCAAUACCCUACACCAUGUAAAAGAACGUCUUUAUGAUAAUAAAUGUACUUCGAGUUAUAAUUUAAUGUGAUGAACAAUUCAUGAAUUUUUUUAUACUUCUCGUAAUAAAAUUGAAUUUUCAUAAUAAUAGAAAUAAAUGUUAAUUCUGACUUUAAAAAUCCAAAUAAUUAUUACUGUCUAGUAAUAAACAAUGUAGGAUGCCUACACGAGAGAAUAAAAGAAUUCUAGUAUAUUUAUAACUACAGGAUGGAAUAUCUGAUAAGCUAUCUAAACAUGCAAAAAUAAAUUGACUAGAAAUAUC